UACGGGGGGGGCAAGCGUUGUUCGGAAUUACUGGGCGUAAAGGGCUCGUAGGCGGCCAACUAAGUCAGACGUGAAAUCCCCAGGCUCAACCUGGGAACUGCGUCUGAUACUGGAUGGCUUGAAUCCGGGAGAGGGAUGCAGAAUUCCAGGUGUAGCGGUGAAAUGCGUAGAUAUCUGGAGGAACACCGGUGGCGAAGGCGACAUCCUGGACCGGUAUUGACGCUGAGGCGCGAAAGCCAGGGGAGCAAACGGG
rnacentral:rRNA from 1 species